CCCAGAUGCCGAAGUCCCUCACAGAGCAAAGCACACGGCCUUCAACGUACAGGCGGACACUUUCCUGGAAAAUCGGGCGAUUGCUAAACACACGCAGGAGAUGCCCUGUGUCCCCUUUGUAAGUUUCGAGCUGGGGUCACGGCCCGGAAUGUCUGGUGGGACCUUGAGACGCCGUGUGAGACCCGGGGCCGCCGGUGGGGCUGGCCUGCAGGACGGAGGGCCCUCAUUCCCUGAAUGUCAAGGUCACCUCUCCGUCUGCCAUCACGGUCACGGACCCGACCCCAAGACAGCCCUUCCUGGAUUUCCAGAAUGUGCCUUGGAGGUGGAGCCACCUAGCCUUGGACCAUCCCGACGGGUCCUGGUGACCGUGAAUGCCCCGUAAAUGGGACAGGAGGAGCCUGGGCAGAAGACAGUGUCCCCUGCUGGGGGCCUGGCAGGGCAUGACCCGCACAGCGUCCAGCAGUCCAGAGAGCAGGCAGAGUGGCACCAGCGCAGUAAUCCACAGAGGCCAGCGCUGGACCAGGGUCAGGAGGACAAAGGACUCAUCCUGGGCUCUAGAAAGCUCUGCAACCCAGGGAAAGGCUGCUUUAAUGCCAUACUCUUAAAACAUCAAAAUUAAGGCAAAAAUCCACCAGGAGCAGAACACCUGGUUUUGAAAGACAGAGGGCCAGUGUCACGGCCCUUCCCUUUGGCUUCAGGCUCUGAUGUGGCUGAGCAGGCUGCUGCUGGGGCGGUCAGCCCUGGAGGGGUCCCUCGUGGACAGACGGCUCACGUGCUUGGCGUGGCCCUGCGGAGCCCUUCCCCAGAUGCUCCAGGGGCCCAGACCCUACCCGGCCCCGCUGCCAAGGGCCGGGCAAGGAGAGGCCUGGCUUCGUCUGACAGCCCCAGAACUCACGGGCCUGGACCGUGAGGAGGGAGGCCCAGGAUGGCGGCUGGCUGGGUUUCCUGGUUGACGGAGACUCGCUGGAAGGCCUGCGCCUGUGCAAACGCCCCAGAGCCCAGGGCAGGAGGCAGCGUGAUUCCCACACCGCCGUCCAAGAGGCAGCCGGCAACCUCGCCCGCUGCUCCCAACCACCGCCCCGUCUCCAGGCCAUCGGACGCCCCAGUGGCCCAUGGAGGCUGCUUCCAUGUCUUGGCUACUAUGACGAGUGACCCUGGUCACAGCUGCUCACUCUCCGUUCUGGAUGAGAACACCUUCCCUGCUGCGAUGCCUGCACUGUGUCCCUCGGAACCCACGUGCUGAAGCCCUGACUAGCCCCAGAGACACCGGAUCUGGAGAUAUGGCCUUUAGGCAGGUAGUCAAGGUUAUGUGAGGUCAUGAGAAUGGGACCUGGUCGGAUGGCACUGGUGUCCCAAUCAGAAGAAGCAUAGACGCCCCAGCUGUCGGGAACCCCCGAGAAGAAGCCAGGUGAAGGAAAGGCAGAAGGCGGCCACCUGCAAGCCAGGAAAAGCACCCUCACCUGAACCCAGCUCUGACUGCACUUUGACUUUGACCUCUGGCCUCCAAAACCAGGAAAAUGUAUUUCCUCUGUUUACGCUGCCUCGUCCCUGGCUGAGCAGUCACCGCCACCAGGAGCAGGGUUUGGAGGGCUGGGUGGGCUCCCUCUGCUCCCACUUUGGUCCCUUGGGGGCACCCCCUGCCCUAGGAGGGCAGAGGGCAGUGAGUACAAGAUGGCCCUAUGAGAGCAAGGGAGCUGGGUUGGAAUCCCAGCUCCACGACUCGCUGGCCUUGCUACUCAGCCUCCCGGGGCUUCGGUCUUGCCCGCUGCCACAUGGGUCAGGGGCACCCACAACUCCUUCUGCUGAGGGAUCAAGGCAAGGACUUGCUCCUGGGGAGCACUGAGCCCUCAGUGAGGGCCACAGGCCAUUUGCACCCCCCCUCAAUGUCCCCGUCCGAGCCCCCAUGAGGCCCAAGAGGGGCAGGCAUGGGUCCGGGGCUCAUGCCCCAUCGCCAGGCCUGGGCUGUUACCAACUUCUGCACGGGGUGGGGGGAGGUCUCCUGGAAUCUGGCUAUUUGGGGGUGAGCACCAACACGGGCCCUAGGUGAGCUCUGAGGCACAGGGCAGACCGUCCCUGUCCCUCUGUUUCUGGAUGAGGGCGUGCAUGGCAUUGGUGCUUUUCUUUUCUUUUUUCUCUUCUCUUCUCUUCUUUUCUUUUUAGGGCCGCACCCGUGGCACAUGGAGAUUCCCAGGCUAGGGGUCAAAUCAGAGCUACAGCUGCCAGCCUACUCCACAGCCACAGCCACAGCCUCGUCAGAUCCAAGCCACGUCUGCAAACUACACCAGAGCUCAUGGCAAUACUGGAUCCUUAACCUACUGAGAGAGGCCAGGGAUCGAACCCGCAACCUCAUGGCUCCUAGUUGGAUUCGUUUCCACUGCACUGUAACAGGAACUCUGCCUUUUUGUGUGUGUGUGUGUGUGUGUGUGUGUUUUUGCCAUUUCUUGGGCCGCUCCGGCAGCAUAUGGAGGUUCCCACACUAGGAGUCUAAUCGGAGCUGUGGCCACCAGCCUACGCCAGAGCCACAGCAACGCAGGAUCCGAGCCGCGUCUGCAACCUACACCACAGCUCACGGCAACGCCAGAUCCUUAAUCCGCUGAGCAAGGCCAGGGAUCGAACCUGAAACCUCAUGGUUCCCAGUCGCAUUAGUUAACCACUGAUGCACCACGGGAACUCCUUUUAUUUAUUUAUUUAUUUAAUGGCCAUACCCGCAGCAUGUGGAAAUUCCUGGGCCAGGGAUUGACUCCAACGUAUGCUACAGCUGCGGCAAUGCCAGAUCCUUUAACCCACUGCACUGGGCUGGGGAUCAAACCCACAUCUCCGCAGAGACCCGAGCCACUAACCCACCAUGCCACAGUGGAACAAAGAUGUGGGUGAUUUUUUUUCUUCUUUUUAGGCCGCACCUGCGGCAUAUGGAGGUUCCCAGGUUAGGGGUCCAAUCAGAGCUGUAGCCGCCAGCCUACACCACAGCCACAGCAACGCGGGAUCCAAGCUGCGUCUGUGACCUACCCCACAGCUCAUGGCAAUGCCGGAUCCUUAACCCACGGAGCAAGGCCAGGGAUCGAACCCGCGACCUCAUGGUUCCUGGUCGGAUACGUUAACCACUGAGCCACGAUGGGAACCCCAGACGUGGGUGAUUUUUAAUCAGGCUGAACAAUUAAAGCAGGAGGAAGAUUUCAUUUUCCCAGCAAGAACUGAGCUCCCCACACUGGCUGGACCCCGGGAUCCCAGCUCGGCCAGCACCGUCUGUUCACCCUCCUCUCAGACUGCCAUUGGCCCCCAGGCCUGCAAGGGCCUCCCGCCUCUCUUGCAUGUAGCUCCUCCCCUGGUCCUGCCCCCACAGGGCCGCUGCCCCCAAGCCUUGCCCCCAACCCAGGGCCCGUGAACGCUUGUCGUACCUGAGUUGCUGGGUAAGGUCUGGAUUUUUACUGGUUUUUUUUGGCCACACCCUCAGCAUGUGGAAGUCCCUGGGCCAGGAAUUGAACCUGUGCCACAGCAGUGACCCAAGCCGCAGCAGGACCUCCUGGAUUUUUAGGUUUCAUAAUCGCCAAUCUGGGCACAGGGGCAUUGCUGCAAAGGCUCUGUUCUGGAUGCUUCCUGCGUCCACGUCUGAAGCCCAGACGCCCCGAUGGGCCACCAGCUCGGUAUCUUCCAUCAACAAAUAAAUAAAUUGAUUAGAGUUGCUGCUUUCGGGGAGGUUGACAGAGAUUAUAUUUGUGCACUGGGUGGAAGAGAUUUCUCUAAACUUAAUUAUAAUUUAAGUGUAAAAUAUGCCUCUUCUGCGGGAGUUUCGUGCCUCGUGUAUAAUUACUUCACGGCUCUCACCCAAUCACCCCCUUACGACGCCUCUGUGUGCUGUGAGCGAUUAAUUUAUAGGCUGGUAAUCGGCUAAAACAAUAUUUAAAGUCAUUUUGCCCAAUGUAGCUUUUAAGGAGGGAUUGAGAUAAUAAUUAUUUAAAGACCCGUUUUAUCACUUUGGACUCAUUCCCGAUUGCUCCUUCCCGGCCCUCCCUGCGCUGCCGGCAGCCCUGAUGUUCCCUCCCCUGGACCUGCUGGUUCCUUAGCAGGUGCGCCGGGCUGCUGGCAGCAAUAACACUAGAUAAUGCAUGGGUCCCGGCUGGCAGGGGGGCGCCCGUGGAAGAGGGAAGCUCAGCCCCACUGGCUGCUCAUCACCUGAGUCAGGGCAGAAUUUAUCGGCCCCACAGGAGGCAAGGCCUCUGCAUCCGGUUGCAGAAGAUGCUCUGUGGCCGCCCUAAGCCUGGGGGACGGACGGCGCCUUAGAAGGCACAGCCCACUGCCAAGGAGGUUGCUCUGUUUUUACGGCUCAGCCGUGGAGGGCACAGCUUGGUCACUGCCUUCUCCGGAAAUCCAUGCACAAACCGCAUAAGACCUUCCUGCCACGGGCGGACUGGCACCUGCCGCCAGGUCUGCUUCUUCCCUGGGAUUCCGAAGUGCAGAGGCAGCUCAAGGGAUGGGCUUGGAAACCAGGAUGAAGGGGCAGGGGUGGAGGAGGGUGGCUCUGAUGGAGGCGGUGCCACGGGGAUGUCGCUGGGCAAAGGGGAGCUGCUUUCUUAGUACCAGGCGAACUUAGUAACCUGCAUUGCAUGGGAGCCCCUUGGUCAUUUAGGCCCCCAGGCCAGGGCUGCCUUUGGGUGCCCGGCAGGUGGCACUUGGGCAGCAUUCCAGGGGCAGGACCUGGGCUUUGGGCCCCAUCGGAGAGGGGCUGGAUUCCAGCUGUGCCUCUCACCAGGGUGACUUUGGGAAUCUCAGGGGAUCUCUGUGCACUGUGCCUGGGUGGUGCCAGCAGGGCCCCAUCUGGCAGGUGUGCAGUGGGCCGCAGGGUGCACGGCCCCGACACUGCCCAUUCCUGCUGAGGGGGACUCAUGGGCUCCACCAGGAUCUUAAAGGCCCCCCCAUCAGAGAAAUCAGGGCGCCCCUAGAGCAGAGGGCUGCACUGGGGUGAAAUGGAAGCCCACAGCCCCCAAGGAGUCAGGUGCGGGCCUCCCCCGCAGAGUGGUCCCUGGAAGCUGUACCCCCAGGUGGACCCGUGCUUGCCCCAGGAUCCACUGCUACCAUAACAGCUCUUUCCCUCUCUCUCUCUCUUUUUUUUUUUCUUUUUGCUUUUUAGGGCCAUACCUGCACAAGUGGGCAUUCCCAGACCAGGGGUCGAAUCAGAGCUGCAGCUGCUGGCCUACACCGCAGCCACAGCUGCAACAACACGGGAUCCGAGCCACAUUUGCGACCUACACCACAGCUCACAGCAACGCUGGAUCCUUAACCCACCGAGCAAGGCCAGGGAUUGAACCUGCGUCCUCAUGGAUACUAGCCAGGUUCUUAACCUGUUGAGCCACAAUGGGAACUCCUCCUCUAAGCUUCUCGAGGGUGGCAGUUUUCAUGCCUUUUAAAUCCUCAUAAACUGCCUGCAUUUGUGGCGUGUGAUGUUUUGGCCCUUGUUUGGGAUUCCAGCUGCCUCUCUUGCUAAAUUCCUCAACCCGUCGGUGGACGGUGAAGGGAAAAGGGCUGGAUGAACCCGGGCAGGGCCUCGUGUGCAGGACACUGUCCUUGGAGAAAACCAGAAGUCUGGAUUCUUGGCUUUUCUUGAAUCUGUAGCAAUGGAUGCUGAAGAGGGAGAGAGGCCCUCUCCCCCUUGCCCCCUCUCCCAUCAGGAAGUCAGCCUGGGGUGGGGGGGCUCUGUGUGAGGGGGGGAGGCAGCGCUUUCGCCUAUAGGUGAGCCGAUUCCUCUGAAUCUGGGAAUCAGGGUGCCGGCUCUGUCCUGCUCCCACCCUUGCCCUUGGUCGCGGGGUCACCAGGGGCGGAACAAGGGACUCUGGGAAAGUUGCUUCCGUUCCUGGGCCUCGGUUGUCCCAUCGGUUCGAGGGGUGGAGGAGGCUCUUGCUAACUCAGCUCUGAACUGUCGGUUGCCCGCUAACUCUGCCAUCGGGAUAUUGUGACAGGCACAUCGUAGGUGCUCAAAAAUGCACGCGGUCCUUCAUUCAUUUAACAAACUUGUGUGUGCGGGAGCCAGGCUUGGCGUGCGUUCUUGCAGGUAUCUCAGAGUGAGACCUAGGCUUCAGCAUCUGCCCCGUCGGUGGGCAGGUGGCAGGGCUGUGGUGGGUGGGAGGCCAGGCCAGGGCCUCGACCACCCUGAAUAUUGCAAAGAAACGGCAUCGGAUCGAGGGUGGGGUGUUCUGGG
rnacentral:lncRNA from 9 species